UGAUCACUCUUGUGUUCACUAGUGCUCC
rnacentral:piRNA from 1 species